UGAGUAACCUGCCCUUAACUCUGGGAUAAGCCUGGGAAACUGGGUCUAAUACCGGAUAUGACUCCUCAUCGCAUGGUGGGGGGUGGAAAGCUUUAUUGCGGUUUUGGAUGGACUCGCGGCCUAUCAGCUUGUUGGUGAGGUAAUGGCUCACCAAGGCGACGACGGGUAGCCGGCUGAGAGGGUGACCGGCCACACUGGGACUGAGACACGGCCCAGACUCCGUACGGGAGGCAG
rnacentral:rRNA from 1 species